AAAUUAAGUGGUCAAAUGGAAAGUGCUUUACACAUAGAUCAACGUCCUGGUGUGGAAUCGAAUGAUCAUGACGUCUUAUGCGAAAGUGCAAAACGCAUGCACAAGAUGUUAUCGGGAGGCAAAUUAUUGACCCCUAAUAAUCAGACGAACUGUUUCAAACCUUUCGUUAUCGGUCAGCUUAGUCUUUCACGAGGCGCGUUUUCUGACUGUUGCUGAUAGUUACGCUACGUACACAGUGAAAACAAGGAGUACGUGUAUUCUCAGAAAAGAUGGGGAUAUCUUCAAGAAACACCGAAAGUUUUGGUCGACCGUUGAGCUGGUUGGUUUUUCAAUUGAUGUCAUCUUUACUCUUAACCACAAUUUUAAAAUCAUGCGGAACGCAAGGAUUUCUGGACCUUUGUGAAUCUUCCGAGGAAAAUGACGCUUUAAAUUCAAACAGGGCGCCCGCCCUUAAGCCACUCAUUGGCCCACUCUCCGAGUGGGGGCUCCCAAAAGGCACGUCACAAUCCGUUUUUGAUAUGCUUGCACCUGUCACUACCCCGGCACCUGUAGCAGAAGAGUUGGAUAGGAUGAGCGAGUUCCUCAUUCUGAUGGAAGAGCACCCGGAACGCUACGUCGACAAGACCCUCUUCCUGAGGCGAGCGAUGGAGCCGAGGGUAACAGUUGUCACUCGCCCACGCGGUUUCGGCAAGACACUCAUGCUCUCCAUGCUCGAAUACUUCCUGGAUGCUCAACAACCCAACUCAUCGACCGACCUCUUCAAGAACCUUAGCAUCAUGAGGGAUACCGAAUUUGUGCGGAGGCACAAGCAUAAAUAUCCGAUCAUCAGGCUCGACUUCGGAGGCGUCAAGAACGCCACCUUCGUGGAGAACUUCCGGGUCUUGAAGUCUGUUGUUGCUGCAGCGUACCUUUGUCAUAGCGCACGACUACUGCACCAAGAUGAAGCGGUGAUGGAUAGCGCAGCGAAGGAAGUAUACAGGAGUAUAAUGGAGAAACAUGGCGAUGAGAAUUUGUACUUGGGAGCAAUCCAGCGGUUGUGCAAAUUCAUUUACAACGCCGAGGGUGUUCGCCCAAUCAUCUUGAUCGAUGAGUACGACACGCCUCUCCUAACGGCGCUCGAUACCGGCACUUUCAUGCUAUGA
rnacentral:lncRNA from 1 species